UACGUAGGGUGCAAGCGUUGUCCGGAAUUAUUGGGCGUAAAGAGCUCGUAGGCGGUUUUGUCGCGUCUGCUGUGAAAAACUCGGGGGCUUAACCCCCGGGCCUGCAGUGGGUACGGGCAGACUAGAGUGCGGUAGGGGGGAGACUGGAAUUCCUGGUGUAGCGGUGAAAUGCGCAGAUAUCAGGAGGAACACCGGUGGCGAAGGCGGGUCUCUGGGCCGAUACUGACGCUGAGGAGCGAAAGCGUGGGGGAGCGAACAGG
rnacentral:rRNA from 1 species